rnacentral:RNase_P_RNA from 1 species
GAGAGGGAGAGUGCGGCCGACGGUGGCAGAUACUGCCGCUGAGGAAAGUCCCCCCACCUGCUGAGCGCGCAGCCGUUACGCAAGUACGGGUGGCGAGAGUCACGGCAAUGGCACAGAAACGACACGGCCUGCCCCCGGCAAUGACGCGACUGAAUCCCGGUUCCGGGGUAACCCGGGGGAGGUCCCUGAUUGGAUCCUUCCCUGGUCGCUGACGCAGAAGGGCAGGACACGAUGAAACGGCGAAUCCCUGCGGGUGCAAGCCAGAACAGGGCACGUGGGCUGCUCAGUUGCCCGCCCGGGUAUGGCGCAUGAGCUGAAUGCCGCACCGAACAGAAGGGGGCUUACUCCUCCCACUC